AAAAAAUUAGUUAAUAAAUAACAUUAGCUUGUCAAGCUUAAAUAACUAAUCAAUUUAGUAUUUUUUA
rnacentral:tRNA from 1 species